rnacentral:rRNA from 1 species
UACGAAGGGUGCAAGCGUUACUCGGAAUUACUGGGCGUAAAGGGUGCGUAGGUGGUUGUUUAAGUCUGCUGUGAAAGCCCCGGGCUCAACCUGGGAAUGGCAGUGGAUACUGGACAGCUAGAGUGCGGUAGAGGGUAGUGGAAUUCCCGGUGUAGCAGUGAAAUGCGUAGAGAUCGGGAGGAGCACCAGUGGCGAAGGCGGCUACCUGGACCAGCACUGACACUGAAGCACGAAAGCGUGGGGAGCAAACAGG